UGUUAUGUCAUACUCAAUAAAGCUGGAAUAUAUAUUUGGGGCAGGGGAACCUUGUGACAGUGUAAAACAGAGUGCAUUAUCUUGUGCUCAGGGAUCAUCUAACAGGAUCUCCUAAGCACCAUAAACUUUGGAAUAUUAGAGAGGAAACACAGACAUGUAGUUCAGCAUUCUCCAGCUAGAGUUAACUCUAAAUAGACAAAAGAGGCUGGGUAGCUAAAGUUCACCCAUCACCACUUCAAAUAAGCUGUUCCAUUUGUAUAUGUAUAUAUAACAGGAAGUUUCUCCAAAGAUUUCCAAAUUUCUCAUUUAUAGAACAUAACUAUGAAUUGUGUUAAUUAGAGAGGAAUAUUUUCUUCACAUAUUCAGCACUUAAAUAAUUUGGAAGUUAAACCAUGUUUGUAGAUGAAAAUUCUUAAAAGUAAAAAAAUAGAAAUUAUGACUUCAUUAACUUAUUUAAUAAACAAUUUCAGCUUAUUCCCAGAUGGAGAAAUUUUGUCACUGAACAAAAUCAUCCAAAUAUAUACACUUUAUAUUUUUGUAUAUAUUUAACUGUGAGUGUGAAAACAUGAAUAUUUCAGAUGACACUCAUUUGGUGAGAUACAGAGAACCAACCAUACUUGUAAUCUGUCUUUUUCAUAGUAAGAUGAUAUAAGGCUUUCAGGAAGUAAACUGGUCUUAUCUUUAAAAUUUAAACUGCACAUAUUAUGUGACUCAAAAAUGCAACUACUAAAAAUAUAGAACUAAUUGAAUGAGCAUGUAGUGACCUGCACAACCAUGUUCAUUACAACACUGGUAGCAAGAAUAACUUAAAAGGAAUUGUGUGUUUGUAUAUGCUUAUAUGAAGAUAUACCAUUGAUUGUUAAAUGAAAAACUGAGUUACAGAGAAAUGUCUUGAUUUUAUUCUUCUGUCUCUAUUUUUAUCUAUCUAUUUAUCACCAGUCAUCUUUAGGGCCAGCAUCUUCAGAUCUCCCUUAACUCCAUCUUCAUUUGGCCUUCUUUGUGUGUCUGCAUCAAAUCUUCUUCAGUCUCCCUUUUAUGAGGAUACUUGUGAUGACAUUUAGGGCUCACUUAGAUAACUUACAUAUAUAGAUAUCUACGUAUAUCUAUCUAUAUGCUCUGUGUGUGUAUAUAUAUAUAUGUAUCUAUAUUGUUAAUGUUAUUACAUAUAUAUGUGUUAUUACAUGUAAAUGUUAGUAUAUUUGUGAAUAUAUAGAUAUACAGAAUUAUAUACAUACAUAUAUAGACAUAUAUACACAUGCAUAUAUCUGCAUAUAUACACAUAUGCAGAUAUUUAUAUGUGAUUUUAGUAUAGUUGUAUAUUAAAUAUCUGUAACUUUGCAGUAUAAAUGUAUUUAUGCACAUUAAACAUUUUCAGAAAAAAUAUGCAUCAAAUAACCCACACAUCUAACAUUCCCUUUCAUGGUUAAUUUAGAAACCUCAUGGCCUGUUGUAUCUCAUAGGCAGUGUCUUCUGCUCUUAAUCUCUGCUAAUGAAUGCACAUAAGAGAAAAAGUCCAGUGUUGUGGGAUUCAAGGACUGUACAAUCACUUCAACUCUAAACUUCAGUUUAAUUUUACCCUCCAAGGUCGUGUGCCAGAAGGAUUAUCUGCACAGAUGUCUCUGAUGGUAUCUAUGUAAAUAAUUCAAAAUCUAGCAAAAGCAUGAUAAUAACUUCCUAUAAUAAAGGAAAAAUUUUAGCACUUACCAGAUUUUGUAUCCUCCCAUUAAACUGGCACGGAACAGUGCUAGACUCAAAGGUUCUUUUCUCAAUCUUGGCUUUCUUCACUGAAAAAAAAAAAGGUUCGGUUAGGGUGACACAUGUAAUCUAGCACAACUUUAAGUGCAUCCUGUUUUAAUAUUUUAUCCCUAAUAUUUAUGGCAAAUCGUUGAGACAGAAAUUAUUCCCACAUUUAAAAUUAGUAAAUAGUGGAUUAGGAAGUCUGAAUAUUGUUUCAAGGUUACUCAGUGGUAGAUGGCAUUUGAACUCAGGACUUUCAUUUGCCAAAGUUCUUCCCACAGAGUCAGACUGUGAAGCAGAUUAAUUAAAUAGCUCAUAUUAUAUACCUCUUCCUACUACUUCCAACCCUGCACAGUUUCCCACUUUACUUUGAGGUAAAGAUCAAAUUAUUCAUCAUAUAGUUGAGGGCAUUGUCCCCUGUGGUCUCAAUUUCAUUCCCAAGCCUUCUUUCUCUUCUUAAUAUUCACAUUCUGUCCUCUACCUCAGGUUUCCAUAGCUGGUUGCCCUGACAGUCUUUUUGAACAUUCUUGGUUGUGAAUUUGUACCAUAAUUUUACAAGAUGUUCUCAGUGGGGGAAAUUGAUUAAAAGGAACACAAGAACUCUCCACAUUAGUGCUUACGGCUUGAUGAGAAUCUCCAUUCAACUCAAGAUAAAAAGUUUAAUAAAAAAAAAAAAGUUUAAUAAAAAUCAAAUCUCCCAUUGAGUCUAAUGGACUUCUACUGUCCUUCAAAAUACUAAGGGUGUAGGUAUGUAUCUAAUUAUAGUUCCCCAAACUCAUUCUUUUCUUUCUUGUUUUGAUUAUCCUUUAUUUUCAACUCAGGAACUCGGAAAGCUUCCCAUCUCUUCUGUACCUUAGAGUUUCAAAGAAUUGUUGUCACCUUCUCCCUUCCUCAUACAUGUGUUCAUCAGAUAAAAUUGUCCCAAACCCCUGCUGAGAGAUGAUCUGUGUGAGAUCUUCGUGAGGAAGAACACAAAACCUCAGGGUCUUAUCUGCUGGGGGCCAUCUGUUUUACCCCACCAGGCUGGUCACCAACAGUCCAAUAAAGGAGACUCUUCAGCUGGGGGAAGUGGUUGAGAAGGAAAGGGAAUCAAAAUAGGCACAGUCCCUGGAGCUGCAGACCUCACUCUCCACUGCCUUCUCUGUUUCAGGUAGGUCAGGUGGGGAUGCUGUGGAGGUAGCCCUGGUGUGUCACAUUGCUGUGAGGACUGCUGCAGACUUGAUAAGAUGUCUCUCUUCUCAUCAUGGAUCAAAGUUAUUUUCAUUAUUGGCUUGGCAUGUCCUCUUUAUUUUGGUGAGUAAAAUUUUCAGACCUGGAUGAAGCAACUAACAUAUUUUAGGAAAUGUAGGAAACAACUGCUAUUAUCUAGGAAUGAAGGAGAUUGCUGUUGGGUAUGUAAUACUUAAACGGGCAAAAUGAAAUGUUACAAAUACCUAUUUAAAAGUUACAUCAGUAGAUUGCUUUUUCUCAUUUCCCACCUUAGAAGGGUAGAGACAGAGGGGGUUAGAAUGAGCAGUAAAAUUUAGUUUUCUGUUUAUUUAUGAUUAAAGAUAUUUACCUGAUUUUUUCCCCCUUUUUGGAGGUCAGAUUUCAUCGUUGCUAAAUGCAGAGUGUGGGCAGUAAAAAAGUCCUCUAGAUCUGGUAUCCUUGACAAUCCUAUUUGUUGUUUGCCAGCUCUGAGUCCACUAAAGUCAAGGCUUUGUGUAAGGAGAGAAGUAAUUGAUCCCUCUGCUGAAAACUUAUCUUUCUUAAAGCACAAGAUGGCCCAUGAAUUUCAGAGUAAAGUAGCUGUGAGAUAUUAACGAGAUCCAUGAUACUCGAGUUGAAUACUAAGUAGUAAUUAACUUCUUCAUAUUAAGUGGCCUUAAGCAAGGCAUUGUCUUCUCUGACUAGGAUGUCUCUAUUUAUAAAAAUGAAAAAAAGUGGUAUCUCCACAGCAGGGUUUGGUGAUUAUUAAGCCAUACUUAUUUUUCAGAGUGAGAUGAAUUUAGAAUUCUAUUUCCAGAUUUGAAGUUAUUUUGUGAGAUGAUUAUUUUGAUACUACCACAAAAGCCUCACCUCAUUACUUGCUGUGUUUGAGUAGGUGAUUUGCAUAGAUGUGGGUACUUCCCACCAGAGACAUUGUUUUCCCCUGUUCAUCUUCUUCUUUUCAAUUUACCUUUUGUGUGAUGGUUGCAGAAACUGCUUUUGUACCCUUAAGAGAGACACGUGAAACUGUAAGUUCAUACUGAUUAAUGUGGGAAUUGAAAAAGGUAAACUUUUAAUUUUUUUUAUAUUUUAAGUUUUAACAGCAAAUUUUAUCAAAAAUAUCUAUAACAGAAUAGUCCUUCAAAAAGUAAGAUAAAGUGUCAUUCUUACACUAAGUUCAAGAAAUAGAAUCUUGCCAGCUAUAUAAAACCAUCUGUCAUUUCAGACAAGGUAAAAAUAUCCCAUUAUUCACAGUUUUAUUAUUGAGCAUAAACCUUGUUAUAUACAGGCAUCAAAAAACAGUGUUUAAAGUGGAAUUGUUCACCCUAGAAAAAGAAGAGGAUUAAAAAAAACUAAUUUAGGGGGCUUCCCUGGUGGCACAGUGGUUGAGAGUCCACCUGCCGAUGCAGGGGACACAGGUUCAUGCCCCGGUCCGGGAAGAUCUCACAUGCCGCGGAGCGGCUGGGCCCGUGAGCCAUGGCCACUGAGCCUGUGCAUCCGGAGCCUGUGCUCCGCAACAGGAGAGGCCACAACAGUGAGAGGCCCGCGUACCGCAAAAAACAACAACAACAACUAAUUUUGGGCUUCCCUGGUGGUGCAGUGGUUAAGAAUCCACCUGUCAAUGCAGGGAACACGGGUUCAAGCCCUGGUCUGGGAAGGUCCCACGUGCCGCGGAGCAGCUAAGCCAGUGUGCCACAACUACUGAGCCUGUGCUCUAGAGCCCACGAGCCACAACUACUGAAGCCUGUGCACCUAGAGCUUGUGCACCGCAACAAGAGAAGCCAAUGCAAUGAGUAGCCCCUGCUUGCUGCAGCUAGAGAAAGCCUGCACACAGCAACGAAGACCCAGUGCAGCCAAAAAUAAAUAAAAUUUUAAAAAAAAUAAUAAAAUAAAAUUGAAAGCAGGGACUCAAACAGAUAUUUAUUUUAAAAAAACCCUAAUUUUCCACUUACAGGAAUAUAAAAUAAUUUUCAUAAAAUCACAGAUUGGAAUAUUACAUAGAGGUGAAGAAAAUCAACUGUAUUUCUAAACAUCUAAACAAACAUUUUUAACGAUGCCUAAAAAGCAGAUCGUGUAAGGAUACACACACUAUUGUUUAUUUAUGUAAAUUACCAACACUGCCAUCACUACACAAAUUAUAUAUAUACACGUAUAUGGUUAACUACACACAUACAAACAUAUAUAUGAACACAUACAUAUACGGUGAUAAUCUGAAACUAUCAGAUUAUCUAUUAGUGAAACUAUUGAGGAAAACAGAAGAAUUAUAACAAAUUCACUUUUAUAAUUUUUUGUGGUAUGAGAUAAUGGUGAAAAUCUGAUCCAUGUAUGAGGUGAAGUAGGGGCAGAGUGGCUAAAUUAUUAAAAUGCGUUUAGCCAUUUGUAUGUUUUUAAAAAAUACAAAAUAUAUUGGGGUUGCAAAAAUAUAUCAAUAUAUUUUUAUGUCUCUGUGCAUGACUUAUGUCUAUUUUUAAACCUCAAUAUAGACUAUAGAAUAUAUUGCAUUUUGAUGCAUACCAUUUUGUAUUAGGAGUAAAAAAUAUUUUAUUCAAAAAGUUUAUUAUCUGAAAAUUUUUAUGUUGUCUGUUUAACAGCCAGAAUGUAACGUGUAUGGGGAUCAGUUACAUUUUUGCACCAGAGAAAUGGACCCGAUCUGUGCAACGAAUGGCCGAACGUACCCCAAUAAAUGUGUUUUCUGCAGUGAAAAGCUGUAAGAACACAAGACUAAAUAUUGGCUCAUCCAAAAUAAUGAAGAAACAAUCACAAAAUUAUAGGAACCUCCAUUUUUCUAGCCAGGUCACAGUAUAGAUGGAAAAUAACUGUACUUUCUCUGUUAAAGCCAAAGAAACACACUGGUACCUUUCCCUUGAGUCUCAUUCCUAAAAGUAGUUUUCAUUUGACCUCGAAGUAUAUCCAUCCCUGUUGGAUGUUACCCAACUGUAUAAAUCAAUUACUUUAACUUGAUUUAAUUGCUGUGACUUACUAAUGGAAGUCUGGUGACCGAUAUAAUGUAAUUCUUAACUCCAGAGGCUGAAUGAGAACCUCUAUGAUGUAGCUACAGGGAGCAUAACUGAGCAAGAAAAACCACUGACUUCAGAAAUUUAAAUCCAUCACAAUGGACAAUUUAUGCUAGAAAGGAACUCCUCCAGUGGUCCAUUUUGUCCCCUGAUCUCCUUGACAAGACUCCAAACUUUCUUUAGAGAGCAGGGCAUGCUAGGGCACUUCCACCUAACCUCCCUUGCUGCCUCAUUCCCCCGAGGGAGUUCCCAGUCUCAAGGUUCAGCCAGCCUUCCUACUUCCCACCUCAUUUCCUCUCACUGGUGUUUCCUCUCAUUUAAUCCCCAAAUGGGCUUCUCCUUCUAGAGAACCAUGAAAACAAUCUCUAAUCCUCCUCUCUGAGGUCUCUCCUCAGUGGGUUCCAAGGCUGAGUCAGGACUGAGCAUGUAGGAAGAGUCAAGUAGCCCCAGGUGGUUGGGAGGACCUGUGUAGGGUAGGGAGGUAAGGAGGGGCCCAGCUACCUGUUUGAGGAAGGGGAGCACAGCCCUCCUAGCACUCUUAUAUUCAGAUUCUCCUCAUGGAGAAGCGCUUAGUGCAGUGCUCAGGCAAUUUUAAGUACUUUUUUAAGCAUAAUUUUUCUUUUUCGCUUUUUCUUUCUUUACAGAGAAGAUAGUGGAAAAUUUGAUUUUAGUCAUUGGGGUUGUUGCUGACUCUGCCUCAGCCACACAUUCCUAUGGCUUUUAUAGCAAUUCUAUUGUGAAAUGGAUUCUACAAUUAGUCUUCUCCAUCAGGGCUUUAAAUUCCUAGAUGAUCAGACAAAGCCUUCAAUACUACAGAAGAUGGAAUAUAGAUCGUUGAAGAAUUUUUCCAACUCUAAGAACCUGCCAAUGAAAGAUUUCUAUUUUGUCUUCAGUUAUUCAGUGACAGUUGAAAACCCAUCUUAAUUGUGUGUUCAAUAAUACAAAACCUAAUGUAAUUUGUAAUCAUGAAUAUUUCAAUCAAUAAAAUGUUAAAUAGUAUUAUCUUUAUUAAAAUACUCUUUCUUUGGUUGGUUGGUUAGUGGAUUAAAAGACAUGAAUACUUCUGGUAACUGUAAUUAAAGAAAUAGUUUCAAAGAUGAACAAAUAAUCCAUUACUUGGGUGUUUAUUAAAAGUGCAGAGAGUUGGGCUUCUCUUUAUCCUAAAGAAUCCAAAACUCUAGAAGAGGAAUCUGGGAACUUGAAUUCUAACAAGUACUCCAGGUCAAUCUUCUGAUCACCAGUGUUAGCCAAGACAGCUAAAACAUAGCACAUAUCUAUAAUUGAAUGAAUUGCAGAGACUAUUCAAAGAUAUUGUGUGAUUUCUGAAGCUUGGGAGAAAACUAUAUUAUUCUCUCUCUCACAAAUAAGUCAAGAGAUAGUUUGGUGAUCCUGGCAGGCCAGGCAACUCUGCCGUUACGGAUCUAGGAUAUUCAUUUGUGCUCCAAGUCUGAUGCUUUUUUAUUUAUCUUCACCACUCAACCAGCAAGAAACAGGCUUCAUUUGAGUGGCCAAAUGUUCAUCUUUUUUUUUUUUUUUUUUUUUUUUUGCAGUACAUGGGCCUCUCACUGUUGUGGCCUCUCCUGUUGCAGAGCACAGGCUCCGGACGCACAGGUUCAGCGGCCGUGGCUCACAGGCCCAGCCGCUCCACAGCAUGUGGGAUCUUCCUGGACCGGGGCACGAACCCGUGUGCCCUGCAUCAGCAGGCGGACACUCAACCACUGCACCACCAGGGAAGCCCCCAAAUGUUCAUUUAAAGCUUAGUUUUAAUGGCAGAAAUGUAGACCAACUACAAGAAAGCAAGUUUCAAGCUGCUAUAUCUGUGAUAUCAGACCUGCUCUGCUUUUCAGUAAACAUUUUCACCUCUAAAAGAGUGACCCACAUGGGGGUUACUUACUCAUUUGCAUUCUUUAGUACUAAUUUUUUUUUGUGAUAUGUGGGCCUCUCACUGUUGUGGCCUCUCCUGUUGCAGAGCACAUGCUCCGUACGCGCAGGCUCAGCAGCCAUGGCUCACGGGCCCAGCGGCUCCGCGGCAUGUGGGAUCUUCCCGGACCGGGGCACGAACCCGUGUCCCCUGCAUUGGCAGGCGGACUCUCAACCACUGCACCACCAGGGAAGCCCAGUACUAAUUUUUAAUGAAAGUAUCCAUUAAAAUGUACAGAUUUAGAGCCACAUUAUAAAAACACAUUCAACCACCUUCAUAUCCUUUUUUUUUCCUUACAAAAGAUAUGUAUAAAAAACAUUCAGUGAGAGGACCUUCAAGAUGGCGGAGAAGUAAGACAUGGAGGUCUCCUUCCUCCCCACAAGUACGUCAAAAAUACAUCUACAUGUGGAACAACUCCAGCAGAACAUCUACUGAACACUGGCAGAAGACCUCACACUUCCCCAAAAGCAAGAAACUCCCCAUGUACCUGGGUAGGGUAAAACAAAAAACACAGACAAAAGAAUAGGGGUGGGACCUGCACCUCAGGCAAGGAGCUGUGCAGAAGGAAAAGUUUCCACACAUUAGGAAGCCUGUUCACUGGCUGGAGCGGGGUGGGAAGCUCCGGAGCCACAGAGGAGAGUGCAACAACAGGGGUGCAGAGAGAAAAGUGGAGAGAUUCACACACAGACGAUCAGUGCUGACCAGCACUCACUAGCCUGAGAGGCUUCUAUGCUCCCCGCCAAGGCGGGUGGGGGCUGGGAGCUGAGGCUUGGGCUUCAGAGGUCAGAUCCCAGGGAGAGGACUGGGGUUGGCUGCGUGAACACAGCCUGAAGGGGGCUAGUGCGCCACAGCUAGCCGGGAGGGAGUCCAGGAAAAAGUCUGGACCUGCCUAACAGGCAAGAGACCAUUGUUUCGAGGUGCGUGAGGAGAGGAGAUUCAGAGGCCGGCCUAAAGAAGCUCCAGAGAUGGGUGCGAGCCGCGGUUAUCAGCACAGACACCAGAGACGGGCAUGAAACACUAAUGCUGCUGCUGCAGGCACCAAGAAUCCUGUGUGCAAGCCCAGGUCACUAUCCACACCUCCCCUCCCAGGAGCCUCUGCAGCCAGCCACUGCCAGGGUCCUGUGAUCCAGGGAAAACUUCCCCAGGAGAACACAUGGUGCGCCUCAAACUGUUGCAACGUCAUGCUGGCCUCUGCCGCCACAAGCUUGCCCCACAUUCUGUAACUCUCCCUCCACCUGGCCUAAGUGGGCCAGAGCCCCCUAAUCAGCUGCUCCUUUAACCACCUCCUGUCUGGGAAAAGAACAGAUGCCAGAGGGCAACCUACAUGCAGAGGCGGGGCCAAAUCCAAAGAUGAACACCAGGAACUGUGCAAACAAAGAAGAGAAAGGGAAAUUUCUCCCAACAGCCUCAGGAGCAGCGGAUUAAAUCUCCACAAUCAACUUGAUGUACCUGCAUCUCUGGAAUACCUGAAUAGAUAAUGAGUCACCCUAAAAUUGAGGCGGUGGACUCUGGGAGCAACUGUACACUUGGGGAUUGCUGUAGGCAGCUGACCAGUUUCUGAUUUUUAAGUUUAUCUUAGUUUAGUUUUUAGCGCUUGUUAUCACUGGUAGACUUGUUUAUUGGUUCGGUUGCUCUCUUUUUUUCACAUUAUCUUAAUAUUUUUUUACUUUUUUGUUUUAAUAACUGUAUUAUUUUUUUCUUUCUUUCUUUUUUUUUCUCCCUUUUCUUCUGAGCUGUGUGGCUGACAGGGUCUUGAUGCUCCAGCUGGCUGUCAGGCCUGAGCCUCUGAGGUGGGAGAGCUGAGUUCAGGACAUCAGACAACCAGAGAUCUCCCAGCCUACGUAAUAUCAAUUGCCAAGGGCUCUCCCAGAGAUCUCCGUCUCAAUGCUAAGACCCAGCUCCACUCAACAACCAGCAAGCUCCAGUGUUGGACACCCCAUGCCAAACAACUAGCAAGACAGGAAUACAACCCCACCCAUUAGCAGAGAGGCUGCCUAAAAUAAUGUUCGCAGACACCCCAAAACACACCACCAGACACAGUCCUGCCCACCAGAAAGACAAGAUCCGUCCUCAUCCACCAAAACACAGGUAACAAUCUCCUCCACCAGAAAGCCUACACAACCCACUGAACCAAUCUUACCCACUGGGGGCAGACACGAAAAACAACGGGAACUACAAACCUGCAGCCUGCAAAUAGGAGACCCCAAACACAGUAAGUUAAGACAAAUGAGAAGACAGAGAAAUACGCAGCAGAUGAAGGAACAAGGUAAAAACCCACCAGACCAAAUAACUGAAGAGGAAAUAGGAAGUUUACCUGAAAAAAAAUUCAGAGUAAUGGUAGUAAAGAUGAUCCAAAAUCUUGGAAAUAGAAUGGGGAAAAUAUAAGAAACAUUUAAUAAGGACCUAGAAGAACUAAAAGAGCAAACAAUGAUGAACAACACAAUAAAUGACUAAACACUAAACUAAAACAAUACUAAAAAUUCUCUAGAAGGAAUCAAUAGAAGAAUAACUGAGGCAGAAGAACAAGUAAGUGACCUGGAAGAUAAACUAGUGGAAAUAAUUACCGCAGAGCAGAAUAAAGAAAAAAGAAUGAAAAGAAUUGACAGUCUCAGAGACUUCUGGAACAACACUAAACGCACCAACAUUCAAAUUAUAGGGGUCCCAGAAAAAGAGAAAAAGAAAGGGAUUGAGAAAACGUGAAGAUAUUAUCAUUGAAAACUGCCCUAAUAUGGGAAAGGAAAUAGUCAAUCAAGUCCAGGAAGCACAGAGAGUCCCAUACAGGAUAAAUCCAAGGAGAAAGACACCAAGCCACAUAUUAAGCAAACUAUCAAAAAUUAAACACAGGGCUUCCCUGGUGGCGCAGUGGUUGAGAGUCCGCCUGCCAAUGCAGGGGCUGCGGGUUCAUGACCUGGUCCGGGAGGAUUCCACAUGCCGCAGAGCGGCUGGGCCCAUGAGCCAUGGCCACUGAGACUGCACGUCUGGAGCCUGUGCUCCACAACGGGAGAGGCCACAACAGUGAGAGGCCCGCGUACUGCAAAAAAAGAAAAAACACAAAAAAUAUUGAAAGCAGCAAGGGAAAAGCAAAAAAUAAAAUACAAGGGAAUCCCCUUAAGGUUAAUGGCUGAUUUUUCAGCAGACACACUGCAAGCCAGAAGAGAGCGGCAGGACAUAUUUAAAAUGAUAAAAGGGAAAAACCUACAACCCAGAUUAUUCUACCCGGCAAGGAUCUCAUUCAGAUUAGAUAGAGAAAUUAAAACCUUUACAGACAAGCAAAAACUAAGAGAAUUCAGCACCACCAGACCAUCUUUACAACAGAUGCUAAAAGAACUUCUCUAGGCAAGAAACACAAGAAAGGGAAAGACCUACAAGAACAAACUCAAAACAAUUAAGAAAAUGGUAAUAGGAACACACAUAUUGAUAAUUAUCUUAAAUAUAAAUGGAUUAAAUGCUACAGCCAAAAGACACAGACUGGCUGAAUGGAUACAAAAACAAGACCUGUACAUAUGCUGUCUACAAGAGACCCACUUCAGACUUAGGAAGACAUACAGACCGAAAGUGAGGGGAUGGAAAAAGAUAUUCCAUGCGAAUGGAUAUCAAAAGAAAGUUGGAGUAGCAAUUCUUAUGUCAGACAAAAUAGGCUUGAAAAUAAAGACAGUUACAAGAAACAAAGAAGGACACUACAUAAUGAUUGAAGGAUCAAUCUAAGAAGAAGAUACAACAAUUGUAAAUAUUUAUGCACCCAACAUAGGAGCACCUCAAUACAUAAGGCAAAUGCUAACAGCCAUAAAAGGGGUAAUAGACAGUAACACAGUCAUAGUAGGGGACUUCACACCCCACUUUCACCAAUAAACAGAUCAUCCAAAAUGAAAAUAAACAAAGAAACACAAGCUUUAAAUGAUACAUUAAAGAUGGACUUAAUUGAUAUUUAUAGGAAAUUCCAUCCAAAAGAACAGAAUACACUUUCUUCUCAAGUGCUCAUUGAAUAUUCUCCAGGAUAGAUCAUAUCUUGGGUCACAAUUAAGCCGUGGUAAAUUUAAGAAUAUUCAAAUUGUAUCAAGUAUCUUUUCUGACCACAACACUAUGAGACUAGAUAUCAAUUACAGGAAAACAUCUGUAAAUACAAACACAUGGAGGCUAAACAAUACACUACUUAAUAACCAAGAGAUCACUGAAGAAAUCAAAGAGGAAAUCAAAAAAUACCUAUAGACAAAUGACAAUGAAAACACAACGAUCCAAAACCUAUGGGAUGCAGCAAAAGCAGUUCUAAGAGGGAAGUUUAUAGCUAUACAAGCCUACCUCAAAAACAAGAAAAAUCUCAAAUAAACAAUCUAACCUUACAACUAAAGGAGCUAGAGAAAGAAGAACAAACAAAACCCAUAGUUAGCAGAAGGAAAGAAAUCAUAAAGAUCAGAGCAGAAAUAAAUGAAAUAGAAACAAUAAAACAACAGCAAAGAUCAAAACUAAAAGCUGGUUCUUUGAGGAGAUAAACAAAAUUGAUAAACCAUUAGACUCACCAAGAAAAAGAGGGAGAGGACUCAAAUCAAUAAAAUUAGAAAUGAAAAAGGAGAAGUUACAGUGGACACCGCAGAAAUGCAAAGCAUCAUAAGGGACUACUACAAGCAACUAUAUGCCAAUAAAAUGGACAACCUGGAAGAAAUGGAAAAAUUCUUAGAAAAGCCCAGCCUUCCGAGACUUGAACCAGGAAGAAAUAGAAAAUAUAAACAGACCAGUCACAAGCACUGAAAUUGAAACUGUGAUUAAAAAUCUUCCAACAAACGGGGCUUCCCUGGUGGUGCAGUGGUUGAGAAUCUGCCUGCUAAUGCAGGGGACACGGGUUCGAGCCCUGGUCUGGGAAGAUCUCACAUGCCGCGGAGCAACUGGGCCCAUGAGCCACAACUACUGAGCCUGCGCAUCUGGAGCCUGUGCUCCGCAACAAGAGAGGCCGCGAUAGUGAAAGGCCCGCACACCGUGAUGAAGAGUGGCCCCCGCUUGCCACAACUAGAGAAAGCCCUCGCACAGAAACGAAGACCCAACACAGCCAAAAAAAUAAAUAAAUAAACAAAUGUGGGGUUUAAAAGAAAGAAAAAGAAAAGAAUUUUUAAAAAAAUUUUUUUAAAAAUCUUCCAACAAAGAAAAGCUCAGGACCAGGGCUUCCCUGGUGGCACAGUGGUUAAGAAUCUGCCUGUCAAUGCCGGGGACACGGGUUCGAGCCCUGGUCCAGGAGGAUCCCACAGGCCACGGAACAACUAAGCCCGUGCGCCACAACUACUGAGCCUGCGCUCUAGAGCCCACAAGCCACACCUACUGAGCCCAUGUGCCACAACUAGUGAAGCCCACCUACCUAGAGCCUGUGCUCUGCAAUGAGGAGCCACUGCAAUGAAAAGCUCGUGCACCACAAUGAAGAGGAGCCCCUGCUCACCACAACUAGAGAAAGCCUGCAAACAGCAACAAAUACCCAAUGCAGCCAAAAAUUACUAAUAAUAAAUAAAAUAUUUCAAAAAUCUUAAAAAAAAAAAA